UAAUACGGAGGGUGCAAGCGUUAUCCGGAUUCACUGGGUUUAAAGGGUGCGUAGGUGGGUUGGUAAGUCAGUGGUGAAAUCUCCGAGCUUAACUUGGAAACUGCCAUUGAUACUAUCAGUCUUGAAUACCGUGGAGAUGAGCGGAAUAUGUCAUGUAGCGGUGAAAUGCUUAGAUAUGACAUAGAACACCAAUUGCGAAGGCAGCUCGUUACACGAAUAUUGACACUCAGGCACGAAAGCGUGGGGAUCAAACAGGAUUAGAUACCCUGGUAGUCCACGCCCUAAACGAUGGAUACUCGACAUACGCGAUACACAGUGUGUGUCUGAGCGAAAGCAUUAAGUAUCCCACCUGGGAAGUACGAUCGCAAGAUUG
rnacentral:rRNA from 1 species